rnacentral:rRNA from 1 species
AUGAGCUCGUGUGCUAUUCUUUCCAUGAAGAAUGACUAUGUUGAUGAGCUGAAUUCCAAGAUGAUUGACAUGUUUCCUGGCCAAGAGAAGGUAUACCAUAGCUUCGACUCUAUUGAGGAUGAAUACUCGAACAAUUACCCGAUUGACUUUGUGAAUUCGCUCACCCCAAAUGGAUUGCCACCACAUGUGUUGAAAGUGAAGGUCAAUUGCCCCGUCAUUCUUCUACGGAACCUCGAUCCUCACAAUGGCCUCUCCAAUGGAACAAGGCUAACGAUUAGAGCCUUCCAAGAUAAUGCAAUUGAUGCAGAGAUUGUUGGUGGGCAACAUGUUGGGAAGAGGGUCUUUAUACCGAGGAUCCCUUUGUCACCAUCGGAGGACAUCUCACUUUCCUUCAAGCUUAAGAGGAAACAAUUCCCCAUCCGCCUAAGUUUUGCGAUGACCAUUAACAAGGCGCAGGGCCAGACCAUCCCAAAUGUUGGCAUUUAUCUUCCCGAGCCAGUGUUUUCCCAUGGUCAGUUGUAUGUUGCCUUGUCAAGGGGUGUAUCAAGGCGGACGACACGAAUUUUGGCCAAGCCGAAUAAACAGAUUGAUAAAUCAGGAAAAAGCACCAAGAAUAUUGUCUAUAGAGACGUUUUAGAGGGUUGA